ACCUGGCUGGCUCAGUCAGUAGAGCAUGUGACUCUUGAUCUUGGGGUUGUGAGUUCAAGUCCCAUGCUAAUUG
rnacentral:tRNA from 1 species